UACUCCAGCUGUGAUUUGGAGUUGGUGGGGGGUAGUAUUGUCAUUUGCUGGUGGUUAUCCACACCACCUACUCCUUCAUAUAUAUCCACCUGAGAUAAUUAAUUAUCUCAGAUUCCUCUCUCUCUUUGGUUUAAUCGUAGGCUUGGUAGAGGCCGUAGCUCGAGCUCACGAGAUUUUCGACGUUGAUCCGGAGGGCCGUUCGAGUGUACGUGCGUCGCGGUUGUGUCGUUGGAGGCUGGGCGAGCGCGUGUUUUCCUCUCCUUUCGACUUCUCGCCGUUGUUGGACGAGCGUUUCGAUGUGGGUUGAAGUUUACCGAAAUUGUCGGAAUAUCUUCUAAGUUUUAAUAUUUGUCGACAUGUAUCAUUUGUCUAUUUUUCUUGCUAGUACUCGAAUUUAUGGAUUAGUGUUUACAUCUGAAUUUAGAGUUAAGCUAGCAGUUUAAUUUUACAUGUUGGAUUUGAAAUUGACUUAGGAGAAAACAGAUGAUCCUACACUGUCAUUUUCUGAAAACUAUCAGAUUUAGCUUUAGGAACUGUAGUUUGUUUGAAUCGUCGCAGUUUGUAUGCGAUGGAUAUCCAGAUUAGUGUAUGAUAAGUUUAUGCUCGUGGUGGGAUGUCGAAUUUAUUUUACAGUAGUGUGUAGACUGUUCUGGACUGUCGGGUGCCGUCGCUGUUGACGGUGGAUCCAGUUUGCUAUCUUUG
rnacentral:lncRNA from 1 species